rnacentral:rRNA from 1 species
GACGAACGCUGGCGGCGUGCUUAACACAUGCAAGUCGAGCGGAAAGGCCCUUUUGGGGGUACUCGAGCGGCGAACGGGUGAGUAACACGUGAGUGAUCUGCCCUCUACUUCUGGAUAACCCUCGGAAACGGGGGCUAAUACGGGAUAGGACUCCUGCCUGCAUGGGUGGGGGUGGAAAGGUUUUUUCUGGUGGGGGAUGUGCUCGCGGCCUAUCAGCUUGAUGGUGGGGUAAUGGCCUACCAUGGCUUUGACGGGUAGCCGGCCUGAGAGGGUGACCGGCCACACUGGGACUGAGACACGGCCCAGACUCCUACGGGAGGCAGCAGUGGGGAAUAUUGGACAAUGGGCGGAAGCCUGAUCCAGCAACGCCGCGUGAGGGAUGACGGCCUUCGGGUUGUAAACCUCUUUCACUUCUGACGAAGUCUUGCUCUUGUGGGUGGGGUGACGGUAGGGAGAGAAGAAGCACCGGCCAACUACGUG